CGGGUGAGUAACACGUGGAUAACCUACCUAUAAGACUGGGAUAACUUCGGGAAACCGGAGCUAAUACCGGAUAAUAUAUUGAACCGCAUGGUUCGAUAGUGAAAGACGGUUUUGCUGUCACUUAUAGAUGGAUCCGCGCCGCAUUAGCUAGUUGGUAAGGUAACAGCUUACCAAGGCAACGAUGCGUAGCCGACCUGAGAGGGUGAUCGGCCACACUGGAACUGAGACACGGUCCAG
rnacentral:rRNA from 1 species